rnacentral:pre_miRNA from 1 species
GAUGGGGGAGAGGGCAGGUUCCUCAGCCCGGAUUGUGAGAGGGCACAGGCCAGGCCGAGGGACCCCACUGGUGCACA